rnacentral:rRNA from 1 species
CUGGCGGCGCACAUAAGACAUGCAAGUCGAACGGAAGUCGUUAUAAAAAGGAUUGAAGAUUUAUCUGAUUGAGAUUUUAUAACAAUGGCUUUAGUGGCGGACUGGUGAGUAACGCGUGAGCAACCUGCCUACUAGAGGGGAAUAACAGUGAGAAAUCAUUGCUAAUACCGCAUAUGCCAUGAACAUCACAUGAUGAAAAUGGGAAAAGAGUAAUCUGCUAGUAGAUGGGCUCGCGUCUGAUUAGAUAGUUGGUGGGGUAACGGCCUACCAAGUCGACGAUCAGUAGCCGGACUGAGAGGUUGAACGGCCACAUUGGGACUGAGAUACGGCCCAGACUCCUACGGGAGGCAGCAGUCGGGAAUAUUGCGCAAUGGAGGAAACUCUGACGCAGUGACGCCGCGUAUAGGAAGAAGGUUUUCGGAUUGUAAACUAUUGUCGUUAGGGAAGAUACAAGACAGUACCUAAGGAGGAAGCUCCGGCUAACUACGUG